rnacentral:rRNA from 1 species
GACGAACGCUGGCGGCGUGCUUAACACAUGCAAGUCGAACGGAAAGGCCCUGCUUUUGUGGGGUGCUCGAGUGGCGAACGGGUGAGUAACACGUGAGUAACCUGCCCUUGACUUUGGGAUAACUUCAGGAAACUGGGGCUAAUACCGGAUAGGAGCUCCUGCUGCAUGGUGGGGGUUGGAAAGUUUCGGCGGUUGGGGAUGGACUCGCGGCUUAUCAGCUUGUUGGUGGGGUAGUGGCUUACCAAGGCUUUGACGGGUAGCCGGCCUGAGAGGGUGACCGGCCACAUUGGGACUGAGAUACGGCCCAGACUCCUACGGGAGGCAGCAGUGGGGAAUAUUGCACAAUGGGCGGAAGCCUGAUGCAGAAACGCCGCGUGCGGGAUGACGGCCUUCGGGUUGUAAACCGCUUUCGCCUGAGACGAAGCGUGAGUGACGGUAAUGGGUAAAGAAGCACCGGCUAACUACGUG